AGAGUUUGAUCCUGGCUCAGGAUGAACGCUGGCGGCGUGCCUAACACAUGCAAGUCGAACGGACUUACAUUGAAGCCUAGCGAUAUGUAAGUUAGUGGCGGACGGGUGAGUAACGCGUGGGUAACCUGCCUUGUACUGGGGGACAACAGUUGGAAACGACUGCUAAUACCGCAUAAGCGCACAGCUUCGCAUGAAGCAGUGUGAAAAACUCCGGUGGUACAGGAUGGACCCGCGUCUGAUUAGAUAGUUGGUGAGGUAACGGCCCACCAAGUCAACGAUCAGUAGCCGGCCUGAGAGGGCGAACGGCCACAUUGGGACUGAGACACGGCCCAAACUCCUACGGGAGGCAGCAGUAGGGAAUUUUCGUCAAUGGGGGGAACCCUGAACGAGCAAUGCCGCGUGAGUGAAGAAGGUCUUCGGAUUGUAAAGCUCUGUUGUAAGAGAAAAACGACAUUCAUAGGGAAUGAUGAGUGAGUGAUGGUAUCUUACCAGAAAGUCACGGCUAACUACGUGCCAGCAGCCGCGGUAAUACGUAGGUGGCGAGCGUUAUCCGGAAUGAUUGGGCGUAAAGGGUGCGUAGGUGGCAGAACAAGUCUGGAGUAAAAGGUAUGGGCUCAACCCGUACUGGCUCUGGAAACUGUUCAGCUAGAGAACAGAAGAGGACGGCGGAACUCCAUGUGUAGCGGUAAAAUGCGUAGAUAUAUGGAAGAACACCGGUGGCGAAGGCGGCCGUCUGGUCUGUUGCUGACACUGAAGCACGAAAGCGUGGGGAGCAAAUAGGAUUAGAUACCCUAGUAGUCCACGCCGUAAACGAUGAGAACUAGGUGUUGGGGGAAUAACUCAGUGCCGCAGUUAACGCAAUAAGUUCUCCGCCUGGGGAGUAUGCACGCAAGUGUGAAACUCAAAGGAAUUGACGGGGGCCCGCACA
rnacentral:rRNA from 1 species